UACAGGGGGUGCAAACGUUGCUCGGAAUUAUUGGGCGUAAAGCGCACGUAGGCGGCUUCGCAAGUCGCAUGUGAAAGCCCACGGCUUAACCGUGGAAGUGCAUGGGAAACUGCAGAGCUUGAGUACUGAAGAGGAUCGCGGAAUUCCCGGUGUAGAGGUGAAAUUCGUAGAUAUCGGGAGGAACACCAGUGGCGAAGGCGGCGAUCUGGGAAGAUACUGACGCUGAGGUGCGAAAGCGUGGGGAGCAAACAGG
rnacentral:rRNA from 1 species